AGGACCACCUCGUAAGGCUAAAUAUUCCUGAAUGACCGAUAGUGAAAUAGUACCGUGAGGGAAAGGUGAAAAGAACCCCGGGAGGGGAGUGAAAAGAACAUGAAACCAUAAACUUACAAGCAGUAGAAGGACGACUAUAUCGUCUGCCUGCGUGCCUGUUGAAGAAUGAGCCGGCGACUUAUAGUUAGUGGCAGGUUAAAGCAGUGAAUGCUGGAGCCACAGUGAAAGCGAGCCUUAAUAGGGCGUUUGUCACUAGUUAUAGACCCGAACCCGGAUGAUCUAACCAUGGCCAGGUUGAAGCUUAGGUAAUACUAAGUGGAGGACCGAACCGACUGAUGUUGAAAAAUCAGCGGAUGAGUUGUGGUUAGGGGUGAAAUGCCAAUCGAAUUCGGAGCUAGCUGGUUCUCCCCGAAAUGCGUUUUGGCGCAGCGGUAAAUGUUAUAAUCUAGGGGUAAAGCACUGUUACGUAUGCGGGCUGGUAAUUCGGUACCAAAUCGUUGCAAACUAAGAAUACUAGAUGAAUAGUUUACCAGUAAGACUGUGGGGGAUAAGCUCCAUUGUCAAGAGGGAAACAGCCCAGAGCACCAGUUAAGGCCCUUAAAUAAUUACUAAGUGGUAAAGGAGGUGGGAGUGCAUAAACAAUCAGGAGGUUUGCUUAGAAGCAGCAAUCCUUUAAAGAGUGCGUAAUAGCUCACUGAUCGAGUAAACCUGCGCCGAAAAUGUAUGGGACUAAGUAAUUUGCCGAAACUGUGCGAUAUAUAUUUAUAUAUCGGUAGGGGAGCGUUCUGUUGUAGGUCGAAGUAUUAGCGUAAGCGGAUAUGGACGAAGCAGAAGUGAGAAUGUCGGCUUGAGUAACGAAAAUAUAGGUGAGAAUCCUAUACCCCGAAAACCCAAGGUUUCCUCCGGAAGGCUCGUCCGCGGAGGGUAAGUCAGGACCUAAGGCGAGGCUGAAAAGCGUAGUCGAUGGACAACGGGUUAAUAUUCCCGUACCAUUUUUUAUUGACAACGAGGGACGGAGAAGGCUAAGCUAGCCGGAUAUUGGUUACCGGUUUAAGCGUUCGAGACGUUGAGAAGUGGCGAAAACACUUUGAGUUGAGGCGUGAGUACGAGACGCUAAGGCGUUGAAGUAGUGUAUGUCAGACUUCCAAGAAAAGCUUGCACUGUCAUAAAUAAAAAAUGCCUGUACCAUAACCGACACAGGUGGGUAGGUAGAGUAUACUAAGGGGCGCGAGAUAACUCUCUCUAAGGAACUCGGCAAAAUAACUCCGUAACUUCGGGAGAAGGAGUGCCUUAUUUAUAAGGUUGCAAUAACAAGAUCCAAGCAACUGUUUAUCAAAAACACAGGUCUCCGCUAAGUCGUAAGACGAUGUAUGGGGGCUGACGCCUGCCCAGUGCCAGAAGGUUAAAGAAGUUGGUUAGCAUUAGCGAAGCUGAUAACUGAAGCCCUGGUGAACGGCGGCCGUAACUAUAACGGUCCUAAGGUAGCGAAAUUCCUUGUCGGGUAAGUUCCGACCCGCACGAAAGGCGUAAUGAUUUGGAUACUGUCUCGGAGAGGGGCUCGGUGAAAUAGACUUGUCUGUGAAGAUGCGGACUACCUGCACCAGGACAGAAAGACCCUAUGAAGCUUUACUGUAACUUGAAAUUGAAAUUGGACUUUAUUCGCGCAGUAUAGGUGGGAGGCUUUGAAGAUAUCCUUGCGGGGAUAUUGGAGCUAUCAGUGAGAUACCACUCUUGUAAUGUUAGAUUUCUAACUUUGAACCAUUAUCUGGUCAGAGGACAGUUUCAGGCGGGCAGUUUGACUGGGGCGGUCGCCUCCUAAACGGUAACGGAGGCGUACAAAGGUUUCCUCUGAACGGGUAGAAAUCGUAUCUAGAGUGUAAAGGCAUAAGGAAGCUUGACUGUGAGACCUACAAGUCGAGCAGGGACGAAAGUCGGUCUUAGUGAUCUGACGGUACUGAGUGGAAAGGCCGUCACUCAACGGAUAAAAGUUACUCUAGGGAUAACAGGCUGAUCUCCCCCAAGAGUUCACAUCGACGGGGAGGUUUGGCACCUCGAUGUCGGCUCAUCGCAUCCUGGGGCGGUAGUACGUCCCAAGGGUUGGGCUGUUCGCCCAUGAAAGCGGUACGCGAGCUGGGUUCAGAACGUCGUGAGACAGUUCGGUCCAUAUCCGGUGUGGGCGUUAGAGUAUUGAGAGGAUCCUUCUUUAGUACGAGAGGACCGAGAAGGACAUACCUCUGGUGUACCAGUUAUCGUGCCAACGGUAAACGCUGGGUAGCUA
rnacentral:rRNA from 1 species